GAGAAGUAUAUGUGUAUACAUCAACACAUACUUAUAUUUGUAUAUGGAUUUACAUAUAUGUGUAUUGUUGGUGUGUGAUACGAUAUUCCAUAUC
ensembl:miRNA gga-mir-1657 gga-mir-1657